rnacentral:misc_RNA from 1 species
GAAAUGCGAUAAGUAGUGUGAAUUGCAGAAUUCAGUGAAUCAUCGAAUCUUUGAACGCACAUUGCGCCCUUUGGUAUUCCUUAGGGCAUGCCUGUUCGAGCGUCAUCUAAACCUUCAAGCCCUGCUUGGUGUUGGGUGCCUGUCCCGCCUCCGCGCGCGGACUCCCCUCAAAUCCAUUGGCGGCCCCCGCGUCGGCCACGAGCGCAGCAGAAACGCGAACUCGUGAGCCCGUCCGGGCGGCUCCCAGAAGCUACACCCACCCAGUUUGACCUCGGAUCAGGUAGGGAUACCCGCUGAACUUAAGC